UACGUAGGGUGCGAGCGUUGUCCGGAAUUAUUGGGCGUAAAGGGCUCGUAGGCGGUCUGUUGCGUCAGGAGUGAAAACUCGGGGGCUCAACUCCGAGCUUGCAGUGGGUACGGGCAGACUAGAGUGCGGUAGGGGAGACUGGAAUUCCUGGUGUAGCGGUGGAAUGCGCAGAUAUCAGGAGGAACACCGAUGGCGAAGGCAGGUCUCUGGGCCGAUACUGACGCUGAGGAGCGAAAGCGUGGGGAGCGAACAGG
rnacentral:rRNA from 1 species